rnacentral:rRNA from 2 species
CCUACGGGAGGCAGCAGUAGGGAAUCUUCCGCAAUGGACGAAAGUCUGACGGAGCAACGCCGCGUGAGUGAUGAAGGUUUUCGGAUCGUAAAGCUCUGUUGUUAGGGAAGAACAAGUGCCGUUCAAAUAGGGCGGCACCUUGACGGUACCUAACCAGAAAGCCACGGCUAACUACGUGCCAGCAGCCGCGGUAAU